AAUCUAUCUGGUCAGAUACUUAGUACCUAGAUGUGGAGACCAUAUCUCACAGUUCUGUCAGGCAGGAGCAGUCCAAACACUUUGAUUAUCAGCUGUCUCUUGCUCAGGAAAUUACUAGGUACCAACGCUGUUAUAUAUGCAGAAGUGCCUGAAAAAUGAAUGGAGAUCAAUUUCCAGUUCCACACAGAGCACAUCUGUAAAAUAUGACCUUUGGAUAAUGGCUGGAGUGUUUACCUACAGUAUUGGUUUUUGCAUGUGGCUUUCCCUAGAUAUGUCAGGAUACAGCAGGACCAAAACCUGGCCUUUGUCCUAUGUCUGGAGACUUCUUGGAAGCUGGAGCACACAAACAGCUACAGCAAACUUGAGGAAUGGGCAUGAAUAGACUGGCUUCGGGGAACUUGCCAGCUUGGCCAUGUGGCCAAGGUAAUAGGCAAGCCAAGGCAGAGCUAGAGCUCAGAGCUGGAGGGGAAAUUAAAGCAGCAAAUGUAGAAACAUUAAGCCUGAAGAGGUGACAACGUUGAAUUCUAAAAUGCAGACCAAAGCUCAGACUGCAAGCUGUCUGGCUGCUCCGGGUGUGCCCAGAAGUCAAAGUCCAGCAGGGGCAAAGGUGGAGGUGUGGUCCUGCAUAUGGGGUGUUGGAGGGAUGUGGAAGAGGAGGUGCUUUAAGAUCCAGAGAUCCCAGCUGCCCUGGUGCACCCUUGGAAGAAUAAAAGGCUAGGAACUGGACAAGUCAGGCUCAAGUCCAAGCUGCCUAAGGAAUCAGGGAAAGAAUGGAGCUCAGAGUGGGAGGUCAGGGCAGUAUCUAAAAAUCCAUUAUAGGAGCAAAGCUGGCGGUGGCCCCUGACUCUGGUAAAGGCAGCCUGCAGCAUCAUGCCACGGGGGGGCCUGACUGAUCACGCCUUGCAUUUGCAAACAAGGAUUAGUAGGGUAUGAGUAGGAUUCUGCUGGUGCCCGAGAAGGCAAUGCCAUCUACAUCUUUACAAAGUUUUAACAAAGGCCUGGAGGACACAACCUUCCUCAAAGUCCUGAUGUCGCUGUUUGCUGGCAACAAUUAGAGCCAAAAGAAGAGAGGCACAGAAUGUGCCAGGGGUGUGCUGCGUACAGUCCCGAUGACCACAAGGCCUUCUUGGGUCAAGUUCUGCCAUCUCUGGUUAAGAUGGGCUCACCCUCUAGCACCUUGAUUGAGUCCUCGGACCACCAAGAGUGCCCCACCAAGAGCCUCCCUCUUCUGGUGACUCAUGCCUGCUUCCCGUGGAGAGCUCCAGAAGGGAGGAAACUGUGAAGAGGUGGAGAACGUGGCAGGGAUCCUAACUUUCUUACUGAAGGAAGUUCUUAACAAGUACCCAUCUGCCUUCAGGGAAGAAAACAUAACUCAUUUUGGUCUUUCAAAUUCAGUUCUCAAAACCAAAUCCUGUUGUCAGCAAUCUGUGUCCCAACGCCUUCUUCAGCAACAGCAUUUUCCCUGUGGAAUUAGUUUCCAAUGUUCUUUCUUAAAUAAACCACUGAAGAUUGAAAGGAAUCCAGAUACCCACCA
rnacentral:lncRNA from 1 species